rnacentral:rRNA from 1 species
GAUGAACGCUGGCGGCGUGCCUAAUACAUGCAAGUCGAGCGAACGGACGCGAAGUUUGCUUCUCUGAUGUUAGCGGCGGAAGGGUGAGUGAAACGUGGAUAAAAUCUCUAUCAGACUGGGAUAAAUUCGGGAAAACGGAGCUCUAACCGGAUGAUAUUUUGACCCGCCUGGUUCAAAAGUGUAAGAAGGUCUUGCUGUCACUUAUAGAUUGAUCCGCGCGGCAUCAGCUAGUUGGUAAGGUAACGGCUUACCAGGGCACCUAUGCAUAGCCCACCUGUGAGGGGGUGGGGCGACACUGUAACAGAGACACGGGCCAGACUCCUAUGGGAGGCAGCGGUAUGGAAUCUACUGCACUGGGCGAAAGCCUGACGGAGCGACGCCGCGUGAGUGAUGAGGGUCUUCGGAUCUUAAAACCCUGUUAUUAGAGAGGAACAUAUGUGUAAGUAACUGUGCACAUCUUGAGGGGACCUAAUCAGAAAGCCACGGCUAACUACGUG